rnacentral:misc_RNA from 1 species
AACCUAGCACACCUGCGGUGUGUACCUGCGGAAGGAUCAUUACCGAGUUGUACAACUCAUCAACCCUGUGAACAUACCUAAAACGUUGCCUCGGCGGGAACAGACGGCCCCGUAACACGGGCCGCCCCCGCCAGAGGACCCCCUAACUCUGUUUCUAUAAUGUUUUUUCUGAGUAAACAAGCAAAUAAAUCAAAACUUUUAACAACGGAUCU